rnacentral:rRNA from 1 species
AUUGAACGCUGGCGGCAUGCCUUAACACAUGCAAGUCGAACGGCAGCACGGGGGCAACCCUGGUGGCGAGUGGCGAACGGGUGAGUAAUACAUCGGAACGUGCCCCGUAGCGGGGGACAACCAGUCGAAAGACUGGCUAAUACCGCAUACGCUCCACGGAGGAAAGCAGGGGAUCGCAAGACCUUGCACUAUGGGAGCGGCCGAUGCCCGAUUAGCUAGUUGGUGAGGAGAAGCUCAACCAAGGCAACGAUCGGUAGCUGGUCUGAGAGGACGACCAGCCACACUGGGACUGAGACACGGCCCAGACUCCUACGGGAGC